CCCUCCUAAGCUCAACCAUACGUAAUAAGCCCAAAUACACAUGUAUAUACUCUAAAUCAUAUAUACAUUUGCCCCACUACCAAAAUAACCACAUUAAACACAGCUGUGUUAUAUUUGUGGUUUUACUGUUGUAUUAUCUAAAACUGGUCCAAAUAUUUUUCUUCAGAAUGUGAUCUGUUUUAACAUUCUACCUACAGUAUAGAAGGAACUCCAUGAUCGUAUAGACUUUCUUUUAAAGACGCAGCAAGGCUUAAUCAGAAUUAUGAGCCCUAAGUACGGAAGUCAUUG